rnacentral:rRNA from 1 species
CGCGGCCUAUCAGCUUGUUGGUGAGGUAACGGCUCACCAAGGCAACGACGGGUAGCUGGUCUGAGAGGACGAUCAGCCACACUGGGACUGAGACACGGCCCAGACUCCUACGGGAGGCAGCAGCAGGGAAUAUUGCACAAUGGGCGAAAGCCUGAUGCAGCGACGCCGCAUGGGGGAUGAAGGCCUUCGGGUUGUAAACCCCUUUCAGGAGGGACGAAGCGAAAGUGACGGUACCUCCAGAAGAAGCCCCGGCCAACUACGUGCCAGCAGCCGCGGUAAUACGUAGGGGGCGAGCGUUGUCCGGAUUUAUUGGGCGUAAAGAGCUCGUAGGCGGCUCAACAAGUCGGCCGUGAAAGCCCGAGGCUUAACCUCGGGACGCCGGUCGAAACUGUUGUGGCUAGGGUCCGGUAGAGGAGAGUGGAAUUCCCGGUGUAGCGGUGAAAUGCGCAGAUAUCGGGAGGAACACCAGUAGCGAAGGCGGCUCUCUGGGCCGGCACCGACGCUGAGGAGCGAAAGCUAGGGGAGCAAACAGGAUUAGAUACCCUGGUAGUCCUAGCCGUAAACGAUGGGUACUAGGUGUGGCGGAUUCAUUGACAUCUGCCGUGCCGAAGCUAACGCAUUAAGUACCCCGCCUGGGGAGUACGG